GUGGGGAAUCUUGCGCAAUGGGCGAAAGCCUGACGCAGCCAUGCCGCGUGAAUGAUGAAGGUCUUAGGAUUGUAAAAUUCUUUCACCGGGGACGAUAAUGACGGUACCCGGAGAAGAAGCUCCGGCUAACUUCGUGCCAGCAGCCGCGGUAAUACGAAGGGGGCUAGCGUUGCUCGGAAUUACUGGGCGUAAAGGGCGCGUAGGCGGACAGCUUAGUCAGAGGUGAAAGCCCAGGGUUCAACCUUGGAAUUGCCUUUGAUACUGGCUGUCUUGAGUUUGGGAGAGGUGAGUGGAACUCCGAGUGUAGAGGUGAAAUUCGUAGAUAUUCGGAAGAACACCAGUGGCGAAGGCGACUCACUGGCCCAAUACUGACGCUGAGGCGCGAAAGCGUGGGGAGCAAACAGGAUUAGAUACCCUGGUAGUCC
rnacentral:rRNA from 1 species